rnacentral:tRNA from 1 species
GGGCCUGUAGCUCAGCUGGGAGAGCACCUGAUUUGCAUUCAGGGGGUCAGGAGUUCGAACCUCCUCAGGUCCA